AGGUUACUGCUAUCGAGGUUCGACUAAGCCAUGCGAGUCGAAUGUAGCAAUACAUGGCGAACUGCUCAGUAACACGUGGACAACCUGCCCUUAGGUUGGGUAUAAACCCGGGAAACUGGGUAUAAUACCCGAUAGGUCUCGAUUGCUGGAAUGCAUCGAGAUUUAAAGCUCCGGCGCCUAAGGAUGGGUCUGCGGCCUAUCAGGUAGUAGUGGGUGUAGCGUACCUACUAGCCUACGACGGGUACGGGUUGUGAGAGCAAGAGCCCGGAGAUGGAUUCUGAGACACGAAUCCAGGCCCUACGGGGUGCAGCAGGCGCGAAAACUUUACAAUGCUGGCAACAGCGAUAAGGGAACCUCGAGUGCCAGGUUACAAAUCUGGCUGUCGAGAUGCCUAAAAAGCAUUUCAUAGCAAGGGCCGGGCAAGACCGGUGCCAGCCGCCGCGGUAACACCGGCGGCUCGAGUGGUAACCGUUAUUAUUGGGUCUAAAGGGUCUGUAGCCGGCCGGAUAAGUCUCUUGAGAAAUCUGGCAGCUUAACUGUCAGGCUUUCAGGAGAUACUGUCUGGCUCGAGGCCGGGAGAGGUGAGAGGUACUUCAGGGGUAGGGGUGAAAUCUUGUAAUCCUUGAAGGACCACCAGUGGCGAAGGCGUCUCACCAGAACGGACCUGACGGCAAGGGACGAAAGCUAGGGGCACGAACCGGAUUAGAUACCCGGGUAGUCCUAGCCGUAAACGAUACUCGCUAGGUGUCGGCCACGGUGCGACCGUUGUCGGUGCCGUAGGGAAGCCGUGAAGCGAGCCACCUGGGAAGUACGGCCGCAAGGCUGAAACUUAAAGGAAUUGGCGGGGGAGCACCACAACGGGUGGAGCUUGCGGUUU
rnacentral:rRNA from 1 species